rnacentral:rRNA from 1 species
CCUACGGGGGGCAGCAGUGAGGAAUAUUGGUCAAUGGCCGGAAGGCUGAACCAGCCAUGCCGCGUGAAGGUCAGUGCCCUAUGGGCGUUAAACUUCUUUUGUGCGGGAGCAAUAAUGGUCACGUGUGGCCAGACGAGAGUACCGUACGAAUAAGCAUCGGCUAACUCCGUGCCAGCAGCCGCGGUAAUACGGGGGAUGCAAGCGUUAUCCGGAUUUAUUGGGUUUACAGGGUGCGUAGGCUGUGAGGUAAGUCAGCGGGGAAAUGCCCCCGCUCAACGGGGUGAAGUGCCAUUGAUACUGCCUUGCUGGAAUGCGGAUGCCGUGGGAGGAAUGUGUGGUGUAGCGGUGAAAUGCAUAGAUAUCACACAGAACACCGAUUGCGAAGGCAUCUCACGAAUCCGCGAUUGACGCUGAUGCACGAAAGCGUGGGUAUCAAACAGGAUUAGAUACCCCGGUAGUC